UCUUAAAUCUUGGAGAACACCUUCCACUGAAAACGAAAGUAUCUGUCUCAUCAUUUUACCUUAUUAAUUCAAGUAUGUAAUGUGCAAAAGUGUAAUAUGACUUUCAAGAUAUUAAGGUAGCAUGGUAAACUACAUAGUCCAUGAGUUUGGUGAUGUUUGAAGACAAUUGAAGGGAGUUUUAACCGAGUGAAAAACUGGUUGGUAUUUUCCCCAUUGUGAGCCUGAACAUGGACAAGGUGCAGGAGAAACUGAAGGAAAACCACCAGAGGAGAAUCAAGAAGGGGACCAAGUGCGUCGACAUCCAGUCAAAUUACUUGGCUUGGAAGAAGGAUGAAAGGAAGGCGAGACCUUGCUGCUCUUUCGCUCCUAGCUGGGGUCACUAUCCGUUCAGGGACCAUCCCUCACCUCCCUCAUCAACCCCACUGACAAAGAAAAUACAGACAGGACCUAGGGGUGCUGCCCAACACCCAGAUGUGGAUCCACCUGAUGUCCUCCAUUACCAACCACCCUCCAACGUUUCAUUACAUCAUCUACAGCUACUGUUAUUGUCAUGUUGUCAUUAUCUGCUAAGAAAGAGCAAGAACACUUUCAUACUGGGAACAUAGUGAGAUACACAGAGGAUCUAAAAACACUAGCACUCAGAACAAAGAGAGCAGCAGUGCAUGGACUUCAGUCUCCCUCUUCCGAGACUGACUGUUUGUUGGGAACAAGUGACAGACAGAACCUCCCACCCACAUAGCACCCACCUCCUCUCUAUUCCACACACCAGAAGUCAGUAUUUCAGUCUAUGAUUGCCAUGUGAGGACAAAAAAAUCUAAGUUAAAUAUAAAAUCGUAAAUAUUGCCAGGUUGGUUUUCAGAGCUUGUUCAUUGUAAUGUAUCCCUUGAUGGUAUUUGUUAGUUCAACAUUAUUCAUAGUUGUAUCAUAGGACCCACAAUAGAUAUAUAUUCAACCACAAGGGUGUACUAAUGAGCUAUAUAAAA